GGAUGGUCCCUGGUGUGUGCUUUCCCCGUGGAGUCGGACAGGGAGCUUGGUGGCUACACGGCAACUCGGUGACAACGUCUCCUUCCUCUGCCCAGCCAGUGUGAAGAAAUCAGUUCUGGUUCUGGAUCUGUGGCUAGCUUUGUCUGGGGGAACAAGAAAAGUGUAGUCUUCGUGUGGAGACUUGUCAGUUAUGACCUCUCUUCAAGCACCAAGCCCAUUUCACAUCCUGCAACUCCUCUGUUCCGGGGAACUCGCCCUCCUGCCCCAGGCUGACGUAGCUGCCGCCCAUACGCAGCACACAGCAGCGCCCGGACAUCAGCGAGGAGAGUGCUGCGGGACGUGCCGGGACGUCAGCAAGGAGAGUGCUGCGGGACGUGUUUGCUUGUUUUUGACGUUGCCAGGUAAUGGAGCAACUCUGGCCAACGAGCGCGUGCUGUGAUGAAGCUGGCUGCACCUUGAAACCCUGCCUUUGCACAGAGCUCCCGGGGAGGGGUUUCCACGCAAGCAGCGGUAACUCUUUGUCCCAGUUACUUGCUUUGCUGUGCCAGAACUUAUGUGAAAUGUCAUCGUUGUUUACUGUAUUUUUCUGAGCGCACAAAAGUGAAAGGCUUGGUGUUUUCCAGCAGUUACCUACUUUAACCUGCCCUCUUUCCUCUGCUGUGUUCAUCUGCCCUUUCUCCUCAUCUGCUGCCAUGGAGUUCUGCUCCCCAUCGCAGAUGCACAGGUCAGACUGGAGUCAAUCCCCUCUUCGGAAAGAAGAUCCUGGAGCUCUGUAGGCACUGGUGGUUGGAGAGCUCUUCGUACCUCUGCUUCUUCCUCCCUGUUGGCAGUGCCAGUGACCACCACCUAUUACAGGGUAUCAUGACCUCAGCCCUGGGUCAUGAGGCUUGGAAAUCCUGCAUCGUGUCUAGUAAACCUGAUAGUCUGACCUGGGGAUUUGAGGCCGGGCGACAGCAGGACUGCAGUGAUUGGGGAACAGUUACAGAAGAGAGAUCUGCAUGACAUGGAGUCUGGCAGAUGUCUGUGGUGCUGCUUUGAAGUCUCUGUCCAGAUGUGUCUGCUGGGCAGCAGCACAGUUUCCAGCUGCAAUGAAAAUAUGUCUAAAGAAACCAUGAAGAGGACCGGAGCAGUUUGGUAGUGAUUCUGGAUGCUCAGCUGGCUCUUUCUCCAGAGGCAGCCAUGCAGGGGGGUGAAUUCCUACGUGUAACUGCAGUGCUUUUUCCAGCCCUGUGCCACAGGCGGGCGUAGCCGUCUGACCUCCCAGGGAGAGGGCACUUCUAGUGCCCAGCGAGAGGCUGCACAGCACUCCCGUGCCUGACCUUCCCAUGGCCUCUUGCAGGGCACGGGGCCCUGUGACGGGGCUCUCGGGGUGUCCUUGCCCCGCGAAGGCACCUUGCAGCCUGGCGGGGCUGCAGAGGCUGCGGUGUGGCCCUCCGGCCAGGCAAGGGGGAGGCCCAGCUCUGGAUCUGCGGUAGGCAGGAACGCAGCAUGUCCAGUAAGUGAGACUUCACGCAGAGUCCUGGACCCAGCCUCACCAUCACUCUGUGGCUUCCCCUGUUAACUCACCCUACUCACUGCCCAGGCCUGCAGAGGGGCUCUGUCCUGCGGUGAGUGCUUCUGAAGUGGGUGAAGGCCGCUAUAUAGGUAGUGAGCCCUGUUCCUGGGGCUCGGGGCAGCUUGAAAGGGGAAGCUGGAUGGAGAUCCUGUCCUAGUCUCAUAAGAAACACCAGUGCCUCAUGUAGGCUGCUGAGCCUCGACCUGAACGAGGGGGCUGACAGCAGCUUGCCAAGAAUGCACUUCCUUCAUCCCUGUCGGCUCUGGAAGGCUUUCGUGGAGAUGUACACCCAGGAUAAACAAGUGAGAUCAGAAAGCCCCUAAGCAAGAGCUGUGCUCAGGCGAGUAGAGUUUUGCAAGGCCCACGCUAAUCCUAGUCUGCAAAGCGCAGGCCAAACACUCCCCUGUGUUUACGGGAGUGAAGUCCCUUCCCCUCGGUCCCUGCCCCUUCGAGGGUGCUGGUGGCAGCUGGGCUGCGCAGCGCCGAGCACUCCUCCUCCCGCCUGCCUGCCGGGGGGCCAAGCUCGCUGCUGCCGGGGACGUCUGCCGCUACGUAGCUGCGUUCUGGCAGCACGAGGCAGUGGAGCCUGAAUGUUAUUCUUAACCCUUAGGUCAAGCAAGGUAGCAGUGACAUAAUGGAAGAACUUUGUUCCGCGCACUCCGUCACCGCAGCCGCGAAGUGCGGUUUAUCUCGGCUGCCCUGCUGAGAGCGUACCAAGACUCGUCGCUCCCUCCGUUGCUGUGAAGGGGAAUGGCCCCAGCACUUCUGCUCGCUGGCACAAGCCAUUUCUCCCAGCAAAGUGAAACGUGCUUUCUCCACACAUUGCCAAAGGCGAUCUGGUUAUAUGGUGCUGUCCACCCAGCUGGGAGCCAGACCGGCGUCCUUGCCUCCCGCGCUGCUGCCCGCGCAGGGCUCUGCCUUCGCCCUGCCGCCCCGGUGCCUUCGGCGCGGGCAGAAUGAAGCGCUCCUGGCUGUGCGAGCCGGCGUGCUCGCAGGCCGGGCAAAGCCGCUCGGGGGUAACUUCUCUCUUUCCAUGAGCGUCCGGAGAGCGACGCUGACAAGAGGCUGACUCUGCAAGUGCUUGAUGCAAGAGAUGUUGAUCCUUUAGUAAAUCCUGUCUCCUCGGGUCCCAACAGGAGUCUGCCAAAAGCAAAUAGGCUUGGCAAAUAUCUGAAGGGGCCAUCGUACAGGCUCCUGUGGCCCUCUCUGCCACGUUCCCAAAGUGUAACAGAUGCUCCUGGAAGUGCACCAGCGCUCCAACUCCAUCCCGAGCCUUGUGAGCACGUGAGGAUUUAGGGUUUUAGUUCACAUCUGCUCCCUACUUACUUUUCUGUGUCACUAAGGCUGAGCAAACAAAUUCCACCAAAAGGCAUCGCUGGGUGGUUGUCUGCCUGUCCUUGUGAUGUGUUUACAUACGUGCUAUCUCCGCUUUGUUUGGGCUAGGCAGGACUGCGCAGGUGUGUGCAUUUGAGUUGCUGGGGGUGUAACCGCACUGCAGAGAGAAAGUGCAAGUAUCGCUCUGUGUCAGGCGCCAGGACUCUGGCCUCACUUGAACCCAGCUGCUGAAGCAUGCGAGCGUAGACGCAUGCGAUGUGCUCCAGCAGAUGCUCGGAAAUAAUUCAAGCGCAGAUCAGUGAAUAUCCAUCACACCACCGGAGUCUCCAAGGCGGGUACUCCGGGUUGCUGUUCCCAGCUCUGCAGAAGCAGCUCAGCUGCAGCAGGGCACCAGUUUCUGCAGCUGUUGCGUCUGUUUGACACCCUCCUUCUGCGCAGAGUGGCCAAGAUGAUGUCCUGCCCUUUGAGGACUGAAGUCCUCAUCACAGACAAUUGACCUCCUCCCAUUUGGGCUUGUACACUGUGAGUUCUUGUAUUUGCCGUCGGACUCUGCCUCCUUCAUUUUUUUUUCCCAUUUGCAAUCAUGAGUGCCGAGGAGGUUUCUGUCUCUCUGUCUCUGUCUCUCUCUCUCCCUCUUUUUUUAUUUUAUUUUAUUUAUUUAUUUUAUUCAUUUAAUGCCCAGGCAAAAACCUAAAUUCAGUAGCAAGGAAAAAAAUGCUUAAUUAGGGUGUGGCGAGCAGUUGGAAAAGUAUUAAAAAUUGACUCCAAUCUUGCCCUUUAUGCCAGCUGCAAGCUCUGUAAUUAGCCCUGUAUUCUGAACUGGAGAACAGCAGCCCGUUGUGAUUUACCGGCUAAAUCCGGCGGCACGAGCGAGAGCGGCGUAGCGGCCGCCCGGGGAGACAGUGCCGCCGUUGUCGCUCCUCGGCCGAGGCCUCGGCUCGCGCGCGAGUGCAAGUCGUUAACCUCUGCGGAGGGCAGCUCACCCGCGGGCUCUCCCCCGCGUCCCCCUCCGCGGGACGGGAGCCGGGCGAGCAGAGCGCCGGGCCGGCAGGCCGCGUUGGUUUUUCCGCAGGCUGCUAGAUCGUGUCAGCGCUAUCAGUGAAACCAAGUCUCCUCAUGGCCUCUCGGUCUGCAGGGGAUAAAGGCCUCGUCUCCUAGGCCCGUGUUUUGGGGACGGGGGAACAUCUUGCAUGGAUUUCCGCAGAGCCAAAUGCGAGGUGACCGCGUAUUACUACUUAUAACGGCAAACUAGCCCUGCGCGUCACUCCGGUGCCGUGUGCUGGGCCCCACAGAUGGGCCUCAAACGCCGAGGGAGCCGCGCUGCCCGUGGGGACUGGCCGGCCGCCCCAAGGCUGGGGAGCUGCUGCCACGCGCGUGGCUGGGGCAGCGCCCUGCCGUGCUCCUCCCGCCCUCGCCCUGGAAGAAAGACGGGAAAACUGAAAUAACAGUGGGAAAACGCCGUUAUUUUGAAGGCUGCUGCUUGUCUUGGCUGAUGCUUUAUUCCCUCCAAAGGGGAUGUGACUUGCCAGCCCUCACCGGGCUGCAGCAGUUCGGAGGUCGGCCCAGGUUUGGACCAUCUGGAUUUUUUGCUCAGAUCUGGGACCUUUUGGUAGUUGGUUCAGCUCUGCCCACACACCCACAAGCAGAGGAUUUGCCCACUGGCCUUUCUGCCCUGUGCUGCUCUUCACGAUAAACAACCACCCUUGAUCUCUACCCUGAUAAGACUCCAGGAAGCAACUAGCCCUGGUGUGAUAAAACUGGCCACGCUGGUGCUCCAGCCCCGCGCACGUAGGCAACGCGCUGGAAAUAACAUCUGCCGCUGCUCUGCGCUGCGCUCGGCUCAUGCCAGGCCGUGUCUCUAUUGCUUCUCCUGUCCUAGCAAAAACAAAUGCUAUCUGCUCACAUGUCCGUGGCAAGAGCCCUGCCAGGAACAAAGAGAAGUUCAAAUAUUUGUGUUCACUUGUUGCUUUUUCCAUUCAGACAAUAAGUGACAAGCUUAAGCAAAAUCCGCUUCUGCCAAGUGCGGAAUUUCCAUCGUACCAGCUCCAGCUUCGCAACCUCACCAAGAUGAAACACCUGCAAUUAGCAGCUGGGUUUUAAUCUGGGGGAAUGAAUAAUGAGCAUGACUGAAAUAAGGCCUUAAAAAAAAAAAAAAAAAAAAAAGUCCUCAGAUUUUCUCUGUGUUAAAUGAAGCCUCUGGUCUUUGUGUGCUGUUUCCCGCAGAACUGCGUUUUCACCAUCAAUCCUGGAGCUCUGCCUCCGCUUUCCACCCUAGUGCCUGGGACUGAAGCUGGCUAACAAUUAAUUCAUAAGCGUCACAUCUGCGCUUCUUAGUAUCCGGGAGGCUGCAGUGCUUCAACACGUGGUAAACCCAGAUGCCGCAUAAGUACCCAGGAGUUGAAUCUCUGCCGUUUGAGACAUCCUAAGAAGCCUGCGUGGCUUUGUCUUGUGGACUCUCCUUGCCUCCGUGCAACUUGAUGGUGUUGUUGCUUCAAGAGCAGGACUCGGUAACAGAGGAGUCGAUAGUGGGUGUUUCUGCCCUGGGGACUAGUUUGUACUCUACCUGGGUCACUUCUGUGUUACGUGCUGAUGACACUGGCUGUAAACUAAGUUGGGAACCUUUCCAUUUUUUGGUAGGCUAUGCAACCAUGCGUGGGUUUUUUUGUUUGGGUUUUUUUUGCAAAUUCUUGCAAAAAUGAUGCAAUCUGCGGUAAGGCUUGAUCUCUGACCAGAUGGCAUGUGUCAAUAGCCCAGGCUUGGGGAGCUGCAUGUGUUGUUCUUGUGUGGGGGGGUUUUUUAUUUUCUUUCCCCUCUUUGUGGACUUCAGGCUCUUUCUCUAUAGUACUGUGGAUCCUCUGUUGCACCUGGAGCAUCCCAGCCCUGCCAGCCCUUCCUAGCAUCAGCCUGGACUGGGCAGCUUCCUUUGCUUGACUGAUUGCCUCUGAAACUUAAAGGAAUGACUCUUCAGACUGAAAUAUGUUCUGUAAUUACUUUCUCUUUGUACUAUACUUUGAAAGAUCUCUUUAGUGUUUAAUUUUACACAACAUGUAGUACUCCUCUAACUUCUAUAUUAUAACAUCAAGUUUAAUGAUCUCUGUCUGGGAUAACUGAGAACUUAAAAAUCUCAAGAGCUUCAGUAAAAACUAGUGUCAGAGACAAGGCUUCUUCUGGCCUUUUGAUCAUACUCAUUGCAUGCAAUAGAGAGAAGAAGCACUGUUUAAGCCUGCUCCAGCUGCUCUCCAUUUCCAAAAAGGAUGAGUUUUGGCAGGCUCUUUAAGCUGCCUCCUUCUUAGGCCACUUCUGAGAUCACGUAAGAGCCGAGGAAUCUCCCAGUAGCCUCCUUCGCUAAGUGCUCAGCUCUGUUUUGCUUCUAGGCUCACAGUCUGACACUUGAUAGUCAUGCCUAUCAGAGAUGUAAUAAAAGUAUGUAUUUAAAAGUAGGUAUUCCAGGCACACAGUAAAAAGUGGGUAAACUCUAUGUUGUCCCAAUUAGAAAUGUUGAAAUUCAGUUCAUCUGCGUUCACUCUUAACUGUGCCUGACCCUAACGUCCCCUUCGUGGCACAUUUGAGGAGUGAAGUAGCAGAGUACUAAAUUCUGCAUGAUCUUUAGAUCUUUAGCACUGGCCCGGGGUGAAGGUCAAAGGCACAAGGCUACAGGGAGAUAACUUUGCCAAAUAUCUUUCCUUUUUCUGACAUAAAUACAUGAAACUUAGGCUUAAAACACACCCACUAGACAGGUUGCAUAUAUUAAUGUCUCUAAAAAUGGUUGAUUGAUAACAGCUUUUGCAAUCAGCACAGCCAGUACGGUUAGAAACUUCCUGGAAAACACAUGUACACGGCAAACCCAUUACAAUGAGUUGCAUGAUAAGAGGCAUUACACUUUAAUGAAGUUAGUGCAUAAACAUCAGAGGCCUUGGUUUCUUGGAUAACAGCAAAUAAAAGCAGACGUUAUGUAAAUCAGCAAUAUAAGUCAGUCACUGACUGCGCAGCCAGAAAAUAAGUUUAAUGCUGGCUCUAAUCAUUGCCCACGGUGAACUUAGAACAUCCUCAUUACUCAUGUUCUCCCAAAAUUUGCACCUCUUCUCCCCUGCCAGGGGCAGCCAGGCUGGUAUUUCGGCUACCUGGUAGUCUACCCGCCCGGCGGUUCUUCAGUCGCGCUUGCAGCCUCUGGAGCUCCAGGGAGGAGGCAUUUCAGCUGAGAUAGCCUAACGCUGGUAAGUCUGGUGUUAAAAGCUAAAGAGCUGCCAAGAGCUUUGCUAAAGAAAAGCAAUGAAUGGCCAGCCUAGGGCCAGAAUGUGAUGCGCUAUUUAGCGUGUAUCAGCAGGGAUGCUAAAUAAUUCCCCGCUUCUGCGGCACGUAGUGGUGCCUGUACGCGGCUGGUGCCGUGCUGGUAGCCGGCGAGAGCCGGGAGGUUUCCUGUGUGAUGCAGACGGCACAUGGCUCUCCUGUGUCAUGAGGGAACCGGCUAAAUCAUUAUAGGGAGGACACUUGAUUCAUUAUGUAACAACAGAUCCUCUGUGAUUCAGACAAGAGUAUGCUUACGUUGGUAAUGCGGUAUAAUUUGCUCUGGGGCCUAUUUGCAUGUGGCCUUGCUAACUGAAUCCAACCACAAAGCAGCUCUCUGAUCAGAUGAGGCAGCUUGCUCUGGCACUGGUGGGUCUGUGGGUUGCACCUCAUCCUCAGUUACGGCGCUGACUUUCAGUGGUGGAUGUUGUUUGUGCUUUGAUUGUAUCUAGUGUAUUUUUUGUUUCUGGGUUUUCCUACAUGCAGUUAGGAGAUAUGUGGGGCUGGGUAUCCUAUUUCGACAUAGAGUGACUCUUCUUCUGAAGCUCGCUGUAAGAAAAGUUAAGCAUCACAUUUACAAAGACAUAAUCCUCCCAGCUCUCAUCCAUAUGCAACGACCAGAAUGAGGUAUGUGUGCAUGGGAGAAAAUGAGUGUGCGCCUUGCUACGGCUGUUCCUCCUACUCACGUCUAAUGGCUGGUUCUGUCAGUGCCUUAUGUAACAGUCUAUAACCGUAAAGGUAUCAGCAGAGUUUUUUUAUCAUGGCCUUAAUUUGGUGUCCUGUGACACCUUAACCUGAUGCCACAGUGGUUACACACAUCUUUCGAGUCACAUCUCUUCCUCAGCAUGCUGGCUAGCCUUAAGCAGAUCCUCAGAGUGGCUGAGUCUAGUCUUGAAGCAUAUGACCUGACAAAUAGGAAGUGCCUGUAGUGUAUUUCAUGAAAGAUGCUAUAUUAGUUUAAGAUUGCUGAUAGAAAAAUCUAUUUCUAAAUAUAAAACUCGAGAUCUGAAGGAAGUUAUGCCAAACAAAUCCUAGUUUUACAAACUAUAGAAUAAUGUCAUCAUCAAAAAAAUAAAGCAGCUUUCUUAAAACAAAUAGUUGAAGUGUUCCUGUCUUUCACUUGAAUGUCAUUUAAACUGUAUUCUUUUGCCUGUUUUUCCCCUUAUCCACCAUAUGUAGCUUCUAAAGAAGAAAAUCUCUAUUAACUUGUAAUCAGUAUUGUUGGAAUAAUACAGGAUGUGUUAUU